UAAUUAAAUGUGUGUAUAUGUAUGUGUACAUGCACAUGUAUACACACACACACACACACACACACACACACACACACACACAGGAAGAGAGAAACAAAGAGAAU
rnacentral:miRNA from 1 species